CUGGAGAACUGAGGGGGGCUGCUCCUAGUACGAGAGGACCGGAGUGGACGCAUCACUGGUGUUCGGGUUGUCAUGCCAAUGGCACUGCCCGGUAGCUAAAUGCGGAAGAGAUAAGUGCUGAAAGCAUCUAAGCACGAAACUUGCCCCGAGAUGAGUUCUCCCUGAGACUUAAAGUCUCCUGAAGGAACGUUGAAGACGACGACGUUGAUAGGCCGGGUGUGUAAGCGCAGUGAUGCGUUGAGCUAACCGGUACUAAUGAACCGUGAGGCUUAACCUUACAACGCCGAAG
rnacentral:rRNA from 1 species